rnacentral:rRNA from 1 species
AGAGUUUGAUCAUGGCUCAGGAUGAACGCUAGCUACAGGCUUAACACAUGCAAGUCGAGGGGAAACGACAUCGAAAGCUUGCUUUUGAUGGUCGUCGACCGGCGCACGGGUGAGUAACGCGUAUCCAACCUGCCCAUCACUUGGGGAUAACCUUGCGAAAGUAAGACUAAUACCCAAUGAUAUCUCUAGAAGACAUCUGAAAGAGAUUAAAGGUUUACCGGUGUAAGAUGGGGAUGCGUUCCAUUAGAUAGUAGGCGGGGUAACGGCCCACCUAGUCUUCGAUGGAUAGGGGUUCUGAGAGGAAGGUCCCCCACAUUGGAACUGAGACACGGUCCAAACUCCUACGGGAGGCAGCA